rnacentral:rRNA from 1 species
AAUGGGGGAAACCCUGAUCCAGGCAUGCCGCGUGUGUGAAGAAGGCCUUAGGGUUGUAAAGCACUUUAAGUGGGGAAGAAAAGAUUUGGAUUAAUACUUUAAGUCCCUGACAUUACUCACAGAAUAAGGACCGGCUAACUCCGUGCCAGCAGCCGCGGUAAUACGGAGGUUCCAAGCGUUAAUCGGAAUUACUGGGCGUAAAGCGCGCGUAGAUGGUUUAUUCAGUUGGGUGUGAAAUCCCUGGGCUCAACCUAGGAACUGCAUUCAAAACUUAUAAACUAGAGUACGAAAGAGGAGAGUAGAAUUCAUGGUGUAGCGGUGAAAUGCGUAGAGAUCAUGAGGAAUACCAGUGGCGAAGGCGACUCUCUGGUUCGAGACUGACAUUGAGGUGCGAAAGCGUGGGUAGCAAACAGGAUU